GCGAGCCCUGCACUGCGGCCCCUCGCGUCGCGCGCCCAAGUUCAGACCUGUCUCGCUUCAGCACGGACCUCGCCGUUCCUUCCCGCUCCGUUCCUCGUGGCCCGUCACUUAGGCCAGUCUCGCCGAGUCCUUCGCGCUUUCGCCGUCAUCUCGUGUGUGCUCCCCGAAAUAUCCUGGAUUACUCUCCUGUCACCGCCAGGAGUUGCCUCUCUGAAAACGCGGCCACCUUCCGAGGAAAACCGGUUUUGGAAUCGGUGGAGCGACCGGCAAACCUAAUCUGAUGACGUAUGGUCAAUUGCAUCGCUGCAGCCAAGGACGUCUUCGGAUUCCCUAAGAUGGGCCUGCUUGACUCGAUAACCUACUAAAAUGUAGGAAAAAACGAGCUCGCGGAUUUGCAGUCAGUCAAUUUGUGCAAGUAGCAAUUUGGUAUCCCAUCAGGUAUGUAUGAAACGAGGUCCCUGCGCCCUACGCCCUGACGCUCUGGGCUCUUGGGUCACUGGAGUUCGUGGGCGAUACGUGGCAUUUAUUAUGAAACCCCUUUCCUCCGCCAAAUUGAGGUCAAAUCGAUCGAUAAAUCGAUUCUUCCGGUACAAAAAACAUUUAUUUCGACAACACGUGCUGCUUGAAAAUUUAGCAAUGAAUAGCUAAAAGUAGAGACGAAGGGCGUCCCCUUCGAGAAAGGGUGGCGCACAGUGGAUCGAGUCAAUUCGAGAGGUUGGACAUGAAAUUUUUGACUAAAACUUCAAAUUUUGAUGUUUAUUUCGUCAUAUUUUUAAUGUCAAGGGGUGCUCCCGGAUGAAAAUGUCACGAGAAAACCAAUUAAAUCAAUUUUAGAACCUCAAAAUUUUGCAUAAAUGGAGUUAUAAGCG